rnacentral:rRNA from 1 species
AGUGGGAAUCUUGGGCAAUGGGCGAAAGCCUGACCCAGCGACGCCGCGUGGACGAAGAAGGCCUUCGGGUUGUAAAGUCCUGUCAAAGGGGAAGAAAGAUGCCUUCGGGUAUCUGACCGCCCUGAGAGGAAGCUCUGGCUAAACACGUGCCAGCAGCCGCGGUAAUACGUGUAGAGCUAGCGUUGCUCGGAUUUACUGGGCUUAAAGGGUGUGUAGGCGGCUUUGUAAGUAAGGUGUGAAAUCCAACGGCUUACCCGUUGAACUGCACCUUAUACUGCAUUGCUUGAGGGUCGGAGAGGAUAGCGGAAUUCUGGGUGUAGCGGUGAAAUGCGUAGAUAUCCAGGAGAACGCCGGUGGCGAAGGCGGCUAUCUGGCCUAUUUCUGACGCUGAAACACGAAAGCCAGGGGAGCAAACGGGAUUAGAUACCCCGGUAGUCCUGGCCCUAAACGAUGUGCACUUGGUGGUGGGAUCUUCGGGUUUCGCCGCCGUAGCAAAAGCGUUAAGUGCACCG